rnacentral:rRNA from 1 species
GAUGAACGCUGGCGGCGUGCCUAAUACAUGCAAGUCGAGCGAACAGAUGAGGAGCUUGCUCCUCUGACGUUAGCGGCGGACGGGUGAGUAACACGUGGAUAACCUACCUAUAAGACUGGGAUAACUUCGGGAAACCGGAGCUAAUACCGGAUAAUAUAUUGAACCGCAUGGUUCAAUAGUGAAAGACGGUUUUGCUGUCACUUAUAGAUGGAUCCGCGCCGCAUUAGCUAGUUGGUAAGGUAACGGCUUACCAAGGCGACGAUGCGUAGCCGACCUGAGAGGGUGAUCAGCCACACUGGAACUGAGACACGGUCCAGACUCCUACGGGAGGCAGCAGUAGGGAAUCUUCCGCAAUGGGCGAAAGCCUGACGGAGCAACGCCGCGUGAGUGAUGAAGGUCUUCGGAUCGUAAAACUCUGUUAUUAGGGAAGAACAAAUGUGUAAGUAACUAUGCACGUCUUGACGGUACCUAAUCAAAAAGCCACGGCUAACUACGUG